GGGGUGUGCUCAGAGCAGGGGGCUUGAAGAAUGGUUCCUCUGUUUACAACAUACCCCAAAGGAAUCUGGCAUCAUUGUGACAAGGGGCACAAAACUUGUGGCCUGCCUACAAACAAAUGCCUUACAUGU